rnacentral:lncRNA from 10 species
CAGCCAUGAGCUUACAUUCUAAUAGAAAUGAUUCUGUAUUUGAUUUUGUAUUGUAUUUUUAUUUCUGAGAUGUAGUGUGUGGUUUGAAUUAUUUAAAUCAGACUAGCAGAGAGAAAGUGGGUUGGAGUACAUCAAACUACAACAUUCUUCCUAAAGCUACAUCAGAAAUGGAGGUAUAUUUUUAAAGGAUAAAAGAUAGGCAAGAAUGUCUUUGGGGAUAGAAAUGACAUCAAAUGAAAUAAUGUAUGGGAGAGCAACUUGUAAACAGUGCUUUG